rnacentral:rRNA from 1 species
UACGAAGGGGGCUAGCGUUGCUCGGAAUCACUGGGCGUAAAGCGCACGUAGGCGGAUUGUUAAGUCAGGGGUGAAAUCCUGGAGCUCAACUCCAGAACUGCCUUUGAUACUGGCGAUCUCGAGUCCGGGAGAGGUGAGUGGAACUGCGAGUGUAGAGGUGAAAUUCGUAGAUAUGUCAUAGAACACCGAUUGCGAAGGCAGCUGACGAAACUGUAACUGACACUGAGGCUCGAAAGUGUGGGGAUCAAACAGG